CACGUAGGGCGCAAGCGUUGUCCGGAAUUAUUGGGCGUAAAGAGCUCGUAGGCGGUCUGUUACGUCUGCUGUGAAAACCCGGGGCUUAACCCUGGGCUUGCAGUGGAUACGGGCAGACUAGAGGGAGGUAGGGGAGAAUGGAAUUCCCGGUGUAGCGGUGAAAUGCGCAGAUAUCGGGAGGAACACCGGUGGCGAAGGCGGUUCUCUGGGCCUGACCUGACGCUGAGGAGCGAAAGCGUGGGGAGCGAACAGG
rnacentral:rRNA from 1 species